rnacentral:rRNA from 1 species
AGUGAACGCUGGCGGUAGGCCUAACACAUGCAAGUCGAACGGCAGCACAGUAAGAGCUUGCACUUACGGGUGGCGAGUGGCGGACGGGUGAGGAAUACAUCGGAAUCUACUUUUUCGUGGGGGAUAACGUAGGGAAACUUACGCUAAUACCGCAUACGACCUACGGGUGAAAGCAGGGGAUCUUCGGACCUUGCGCGAUUGAAUGAGCCGAUGUCGGAUUUGCUAGUUGGCGGGGUAAAGGCCCACCAAGGCGACGAUCCGUAGCUGAUCUGAGAGGAUGAUCAGCCACACUGGAACUGAGACACGGUCCAGACUCCUACGGGAGGCAGCAGUGGGGAAUAUUGGACAAUGGGCGCAAGCCUGAUCCAGCCAUACCGCGUGAGUGAAGAAGGCCUUCGGGUUGUAAAGCCCUUUUGUUGGGAAAGAAAAGCAGCAGGUUAAUACCCCGCUGUUCUGACGGUACCCAAAGAAUAAGCACCGGCUAACUUCGUG